rnacentral:rRNA from 1 species
UACGUAGGUGACAAGCGUUGUCCGGAUUUACUGGGCGUAAAGAGCGCGCAGGCGGUCGUUCAAGUCGAGUGUGAAAGCCCCCGGCUCAACUGGGGAGGGUCACUCGAUACUGAUCGACUCGAAGGCAGGAGAGGGAAGUGGAAUUCCCGGUGUAGUGGUGAAAUGCGUAGAUAUCGGGAGGAACACCAGUGGCGAAGGCGACUUCCUGGCCUGCAACUGACACUGAUGAACGAAAGCCAGGGGAGCAAACAGG